rnacentral:rRNA from 1 species
UCGGACGAGAAAGCCGGGGCAACCUGGUGAGUACAGUGGCGUACGGGUGAGUAACACGUGGAUCAUCUACCUCUUGGUGGGGAAUAACCCUGGGAAACCGGGGCUAAUACCGCAUGAGCCUGGAAAGGGAAAGCAGCAAUGCGCCGAGAGAGGAGUCCGCGGCCGAUUAGCUAGUUGGUAGGGGUAUGGGCCUACCAGGCAAUGAUCGGUAGCCGGCCUGAGAAGGCACACGGCCACACUGNCACUGAAACACGGGCCAGACUCCUACGGGAGGGAACAGUGGGGAAUCCUGCCACAUGGGGGAAACCCUGAAUCACCGACGCGCCUGAAUUAAGAAGCCCUCCGGGUGGUAAGCUCUUCCGCAGAACCAACAUGAACGUUCCUUAGGAGAAACUUGGGUUAAUACUUGGCACAGCCCGGGUAUUAUCCCUAAUGUAUUUCCGGCCCCUG